AAUAUUGGUCAAUGGAGGCAACUCUGAACCAGCCACGUCGCGUGAAGGAUGACGGCCCUACGGGUUGUAAACUUCUUUUAUACAGGAAUAAAGUGAGUCACGUGUGACUUUUUGCAUGUACUGUAUGAAUAAGGAUCGGCUAACUCCGUGCCAGCAGCCGCGGUAAUACGGAGGAUCCAAGCGUUAUCCGGAUUUAUUGGGUUUAAAGGGUGCGCAGGCGGAAGAUUAAGUCGGCGGUGAAAUUUUGCAGCUCAACUGUAAAAGUGCCAUCGAUACUGGUUUUCUUGAGUGUGGAUGAAGUAGGCGGAAUUUGUGGUGUAGCGGUGAAAUGCAUAGAUAUCACGAGGAACACCGAUGGCGAAGGCAGCCCCCUGGGCCGAUACUGACGCUCAUGCACGAAAGCGUGGGUAGCAAACAGG
rnacentral:rRNA from 1 species